rnacentral:rRNA from 1 species
AUGCACGCUGGCGGCGUGCCUCAUCCAUGCAAGUCGCGCGAACAGACGAGGAGCUUGCUCCUCUGACGUUAGCGGCGGACGGGUGAGUAACACGUGGAUAACCUACCUAUAAGACUGGGAUAACUUCGGGAAACCGGAGCUAAUACCGGAUAAUAUAUUGAACCGCAUGGUUCAAUAGUGAAAGACGGUUUUGCUGUCACUUAUAGAUGGAUCCGCGCCGCAUUAGCUAGUUGGUAAGGUAACGGCUUACCAAGGCAACGAUGCGUAGCCGACCUGAGAGGGUGAUCGGCCACACUGGAACUGAGACACGGUCCAGACUCCUACGGGAGGCAGCAGUAGGGAAUCUUCCGCAAUGGGCGAAAGCCUGACGGAGCAACGCCGCGUGAGUGAUGAAGGUCUUCGGAUCGUAAAACUCUGUUAUUAGGGGAGAACAAAUGUGUAAGUAACUAUGCACGUCUUGACGGUACCUAAUCAGAAAGCCACGGCUAACUACGUG